rnacentral:rRNA from 1 species
GACGAACGCUGGCGGCGUGCUUAACACAUGCAAGUCGAACGGAAAGGCCCUGCUUUUGUGGGUUGCUCGAGUGGCGAACGGGUGAGUAACACGUGAGUAACCUGCCCUUGACUUUGGGAUAACUUCAGGAAACUGGGGCUAAUACCGGAUAGGAGCUCCUGCUGCAUGGUGGGGGUUGGAAAGUUUCGGCGGUUGGGGAUGGACUCGCGGCUUAUCAGCUUGUUGGUGGGGUAGUUGCUGACCAAGGCUUUGACGGGUAGCCGGCCUGAGAGGGUGACCGGGCACCUUGGGACUGAGAGACGGCGCAGAAGCGAACGGGAGGCAGCAGUGGGGAGUAUUGCACAAUGGGCGGAAGCCUGAGACAGCAACGCCGGGUGCGGAAUGAUCGCCUUCGGGUUGUAAACAGCUUUGGACUGAGACGAAGCGUGAGUGACGGUAAUGGGUAAAGAAGCACCGGCUAACUACGUG